rnacentral:rRNA from 1 species
UACAGAGGGGCAAGCGUUAUUCGGAAUUAUUGGGCGUAAAGGGCGCGUAGGCGGCUUGGCAAGUGGAUGGUGAAAUCCCUCGGCUUAACCGAGGAACUGCCGUCCAAAACUGCUUCGCUUGAGACCGGGGAGAGGUGAGUGGAAUUCCCAGUGUAGCGGUGAAAUGCGUAGAUAUUGGGAGGAACACCAGUGGCGAAGGCGGCUCACUGGACCGGUACUGACGCUGAUGCGCGAAAGCGUGGGGAGCAAACGGGG